rnacentral:rRNA from 1 species
UACAGAGGGUGCAAGCGUUGUUCGGAAUUAUUGGGCGUAAAGCGCGUGUAGGCGGCUUUGCAAGUCGAGUGUGAAAGCCCUCAGCUUAACUGAGGAAGUGCGCCCGAAACUGCAGAGCUUGAAUACCGGAGAGGAUGGCGGAAUUCCCCAAGUAGAGGUGAAAUUCGUAGAUAUGGGGAGGAACACCGGUGGCGAAGGCGGCCAUCUGGACGGCUAUUGACGCUGAGACGCGAAAGCGUGGGGAGCAAACAGG